UUAUUUUGUGCUCAUGUACAUUUAGUAAUGAAGUUAACUCGAUCGUCUUGUAGAGUUCAAUUAUUUAUUAAUUUUCUCCGUCGAUCCCAGCCCCAUCAACGAUGCUCACUAAACAAGGAGAAAUAACUCUUAGUUGUGAAUGAGCCCAGGGUUAGAUAAUCCCAGCGAUGAUACCAGCAGUGAAUUCGCCUCGGGUCGUCGCGACCAAGACCGGUUUGACGGCUCAGAAAAUGAAGUCAUAGGGCGAGGAAGCCCCGAGAAAACUUGGCACUGAGCGAGCCACGCCGAGGCUAAUGAAGGUAUCAUAUUAUCUCCGCGAGUUUGUCAAAACGCGACAAUUUGAUAAAGGGGCCGGGAGCGGGAGGGGGAUGUUUUUCAAUUUAUCCGGCCCCUCCCACCCCCGCCCGCCCGCGGAUUUCCGCGAGGAAAACUGCCCGAGAAGCCACGGCGCACGCGAGCGGCGAGAGGGAAAAAUCGUUACGUGUUUCGCCUAUAAGACGUAAGCUCCGCGUUGUAAAAUUUGUAUGCGGACGGCGGGAAUGGCGGAGAGGGGGCGGAAUGGCGAUGGGGGAGGGGGGGAGCGUUGCUAAGGACGACUCGGCGUGGAUAUCUGGCGUCUGGAUCGGGGGUACUCCUUGGUGUACGUCUGCGCUAUUUAGGUUGUCCCCUCCUCCGGCGAAAAAUCGGCUCUGCCCCACCACCCGGAGCCCGCGCGAAGGGGCGACCCUACAUCAUAAAGUUGAUGGCUCGCCGACCAUAGAGAAAACAUGACUAUAGCCGUUCUGAAGGAAAUAAAACUCUCAAAUUUUAUGAUUAUCCUCUCUCUCUCUCCCGCGGGCGGCCCCGGCUCGGCGCGUCUCUGUCCAUUUGUUUCACAAGUAAGAGAUCUAUAAAAUAUAUAUCGUAGUCUGUCUCUUUUUAUCCACUGCAUUUCAACGGAUGUGUUUCUUUGUUAUAAGUAUUUUCAGCUUACUAUACGUCUGUUUCCUUCCCUGCGCCUCCCGCCCCGCCCCGCCCCGCCGCGCGCUCGCCUAGUCUGGAUUUCACCCGAAGUAGAAACUACCAUCCCCGAAAGCGCCUUACCCUCCAGUUCCCAACUAAUGUUUUUACAGAUUAUACAAACCCGCCCGGCUCCCCGGAUUUCUCGAUCAAUCCGCUCGGUUUUCCAGUUCUAAUCACGUCCAGUGCAUCUCCCGUCAUCCCCGGCACCGAAUCCAGACCAAUGGCUAUAUUUCGUGGAGUUACGUACAUGCAGGAAAGGAGUCUCCGUGAAUUAAAGAUUUCAAUUUCCCGAUCCCCUGGAAUUUCACAAAUGGAGGAAGAAACUGUGGCAAAAUACGAAUUCAACCUUUUUUUAAAUGCGUUAUCAAAGUUCUCUAAUAUAGCUACCGUGAAGUCCGUAACGCAGAAUGAUAUUUUUAAACUUCCUUUCGGCUGAGUAAUUGAAUGUUCGCGUAAUGAUAGUGGUGUCACGGUAAGUUUUGUGUGCUUGCUCUCCAAAAAGUGUCGCGAUUGUGAAAGUGUUUACCAUAACGUUUUCGUGCGGGCUCUCUUUUAUUUCGCAUCGGAUUUUGCGCCCUUUUUGGAUAAUUACCUCACAUGCUAACAUCUGCUUAAUAUAAGGUAAGCUUGUUUAACUCAUUUUUUCGCAUUCCCAUAAGUUUUUAUACCAUCUUUCUUUAUUUACUACAUAGCAUGCUAUAUGUAUGUUCUACCAUGAUGGACCUCAUUACAGACGUGAAGGCAACCUACAAUGUAACUCUGCUUAAAGCUCUAAAACUAACUCGCUUCUAAAGUAAUUAACGUGUUCGAAUCAGCAAACCGACUUCCCACGAAACGCUUUAAAUAAAUUAUCAUUUUUAGAUAAUUUUGUUGUGUUGUCUUUUAAAUAUCUUGAAAUAAUAGGUGCUGUACAGGACAUACAGCCGUGUUUUGUCUUUUCAAUGACGGAAGAGUACGCGUGCUUACAUUUAAACAUUGCGAAAUUUGCAAUCGCAAAGUCUGCAUCAAUCCGAAAUAUUUUUAACGUUUAAAUUGAUUGUACGUUUGAAGAUAAUUUUCCCUCUAAUAUGUACCCUAGAAAAUGAGGAAAGUUCUUCAGCGAGAUCGCAUGGUCCGUUCUUGUAAAAAUUUGGAUUGGACUUCAUUUUGCAAUUUGGAACACCAAUUUAUGACUCAGUUUAGAAACAACGUAUGUGCCCUUAGUUGUCCUAUGCACUUAAGUGUUUUUACGGUUGAGCCAUAAAUCAUAGUUCCUAUUCGCAAAAUUUUAUCCAAUUGUCCGAUGAAAU
rnacentral:lncRNA from 1 species